rnacentral:rRNA from 1 species
GAUGAACGCUGGCGGCGUGCCUAAUACAUGCAAGUCGAGCGAACGGACGAGAAGCUUGCUUCUCUGAUGUUAGCGGCGGACGGGUGAGUAACACGUGGAUAACCUACCUAUAAGACUGGGAUAACUUCGGGAAACCGGAGCUAAUACCGGAUAAUAUUUUGAACCGCAUGGUUCAAAAGUGAAAGACGGUCUUGCUGUCACUUAUAGAUGGAUCCGCGCUGCAUUAGCUAGUUGGUAAGGUAACGGCUUACCAAGGCAACGAUGCAUAGCCGACCUGAGAGGGUGAUCGGCCACACUGGAACUGAGACACGGUCCAGACUCCUACGGGAGGCAGCAGUAGGGAAUCUUCCGCAAUGGGCGAAAGCCUGACGGAGCAACGCCGCGCGAGUGAUGAAGGUCUUCGGAUCGUAAAACUCUGUUAUUAGGGAAGAACAUAUGUGUAAGUAACUGUGCACAUCUUGACGGUACCUAAUCAGAAAGCCACGGCUAACUACGUGCCAGCAGCCGCGGUAAUACGUAGGUGGCAAGCGUUAUCCGGAAUUAUUGGGCGUAAAGCGCGCGUAGGCGGUUUUUUAAGUCUGAUGUGAAAGCCCACGGCUCAACCGUGGAGGGUCAUUGGAAACUGGAAAACUUGAGUGCAGAAGAGGAAAGUGGAAUUUCAUGUGUAGCGGUGAAAUGCGCAGAGAUAUGGAGGAACACCAGUGGCGAAGGCGACUUUCUGGUCUGUAACUGACGCUGAUGUGCGAAAGCGUGGGGAUCAAACAGGAUUAGAUACCCUGGUAGUCCACGCCGUAAACGAUGAGUGCUAAGUGUUAGGGGGUUUCCGCCCCUUAGUGCUGCAGCUAACGCAUUAAGCACUCCGCCUGGGGAGUACGACCGCAAGGUUGAAACUCAAAGGAAUUGACGGGGACCCGCACAAGCGGUGGAGCAUGUGGUUUAAUUCGAAGCAACGCGAAGAACCUUACCAAAUCUUGACAUCCUUUGACAACUCUAGAGAUAGAGCCUUCCCCUUCGGGGGACAAAGUGACAGGUGGUGCAUGGUUGUCGUCAGCUCGUGUCGUGAGAUGUUGGGUUAAGUCCCGCAACGAGCGCAACCCUUAAGCUUAGUUGCCAUCAUUAAGUUGGGCACUCUAAGUUGACUGCCGGUGACAAACCGGAGGAAGGUGGGGAUGACGUCAAAUCAUCAUGCCCCUUAUGAUUUGGGCUACACACGUGCUACAAUGGACAAUACAAAGGGCAGCGAAACCGCGAGGUCAAGCAAAUCCCAUAAAGUUGUUCUCAGUUCGGAUUGUAGUCUGCAACUCGACUACAUGAAGCUGGAAUCGCUAGUAAUCGUAGAUCAGCAUGCUACGGUGAAUACGUUCCCGGGUCU